rnacentral:rRNA from 1 species
AACGAACGCUGGCGGCAUGCCUAACACAUGCAAGUCGAACGAGACCUUCGGGUUUGCUGGCGCAUGCGUGCGUAACGCGUGGGAACCUGCCUUUAGGUCUGGAAUAACUCCCCGAAAGGGGUGCUAAUACCGGAUAAUGUCCUCGGUCCAAAGGUUUAUCGACUUUGGAUGGGCGUGCGUUGGAUUAGCUUGUUGGUAGGGUAAAAGCCUAUCACGGCAACGAUCCAUAGCUGGUCUGAGAGGCUGGUCAGCGACACUGGGAGUGAGAAGCGGCCCAGAAUACUAGGGGAGGGAGGAGAGGGGGAUAUUGGAAAAUGGGGGAAGGGAAGAACCAGCAAGGCCGGGAGAGUGAUGAAGGCCGGAAGGAAGUAAAGCUAUUUUACACGGGAUGAUAAUGACAGUACCGAGAGAAUAAGCACCGGCUAACUCCGUG